rnacentral:rRNA from 1 species
AUUGAACGCUGGCGGCAUGCCUUACACAUGCAAGUCGAACGGCAGCACGGGUGCUUGCACCUGGUGGCGAGUGGCGAACGGGUGAGUAAUACAUCGGAACGUACCUUAUCGUGGGGGAUAACGCAGCGAAAGCUGUGCUAAUACCGCAUACGCCCUGAGGGGGAAAGCGGGGGAGCGCAAGACCUCGCGCGAUUAGAGCGGCCGAUGCCUGUUUAGCCAGUUGGAGGGGUAAAAGCCCACCAAGGCGACGAUCAGUAGCUGGUCUGAGAGGACGAUCAGCAACACUGGGACUGGUACACGGCCCAGACUCCUACGGGAGGCAGCAGUGGGGAAUUUUGGCUAAUGGGGGCAACCCUGAUCCAGCAAUGCCGCGUGAGUGAAGAAGGCCUUCGGGUUGUAAAGCUCUUUUGUCAGGGAAGAAACACCGGCUCUAACACAGUCCGGGAAUGACGGUACCUGAAGAAUAAGCACCGGCUACUACGUGCCAGCCGCCGCAGUAA